rnacentral:rRNA from 1 species
GACGAACGCUGGCGGCGUGCCUAAUACAUGCAAGUAGAACGCAGUUGCGAACGGGUGAGUAACGCGUAGGUAACCUGCCUCAUAGCGGGGGAUAACUAUUGGAAACGAUAGCUAAUACCGCUUACUGUGAGAUGGACCUUCGUUGUAUUAGCUAGGUGGUGAGGUAAAGGCUCACCAAGGCGACGAUACAUAGCCGGCCUGAGAGGGUGAUCGGCCACACUGGGACUGAGACACGGACCAGACGCCUACGGGAGGCAGCAGUGGGGAAUUUUGGACAAUGGGGGCAACCCUGAUCCAGCCAUGCCGCGUGUAUGAAGAAGGCCUUCGGGUUGUAAAGUACUUUGGUUAGGGAAGCGGUACCUAAAGAAUAAGCACCGGCUAACUACGUGCCAGCCGCCGCGGUAAUAC